rnacentral:ncRNA from 1 species
CUAUGACUUUAGUCAUGGCGGAAGGAG